rnacentral:lncRNA from 1 species
AUGGAUAAAAUUAUUGAACAUCCUUCUUUAUCAUGUUUUGGCAGCAUGUACUUAUGUAAAACCAAAUUUACAAAAAGUAUCUACUCUGCCAUGUGCAGAAAAAAUAAUGCAUGCAAUAGACGUAUUUACACUUGUAUGCAAAUUUGUCCGCCAUUACGUAAAAUCACACAGGUUCCCGUAAACUUUGACAUCAUAAUUUAAAUUAUUUGACGUCACAAUUUAAAAGUGAUUGUUGCUUGACGUCAAAAGGUGAUUCGGAGUAGAUCUAAGGUCAUUCGGAGGCAAGAUUCAGCUAAAUACCAAAAGUGUAAAUACGUUUAUUGUUGAAGUAUUUAUUGUUCUCAUGAAUAACAGUUACUGUUUUAUAUAUAAUUCAUAUUAAUUUAACAACGAUGGUUACUUAAAAUAUUGUUAAAUUCAUAACAAAAAAAUCUUUGACUCUGACUAAUCCUCAUUAAAAAAUUGUUUUUCUUUUAGUUUUUGCCUUAUAACUAAAGCUAAUUGAGACUCUAAAACGAAAUCACAUUGAAUUCUAUACAAAUGUGUCUAUACCUGAGGUCAUUUUACAUUUAUAAAAAUGCAUAAUAAACACACAUACCUCAUUUAAGUUGUUGCAUAGAUAUCUAGUAAAAUAAACAGUCUAAAAACAUGAUUGCUUGGAGCUCUGUUUCUAUAUACAUAUAAAAAAGAUGUGACAUAAUUGCCAAUGAGACAACUCUCCACAAGAGACCAAAAUAACACAGAAACUAACAACUAUAUGUCACCGUACAUACCCAUUCUUUUAAAUAUAAAUUAAAAUAUAUCACAUAUAAAUAACACUAAAUCUGUUUUGCAUCUAUUCAAAAAAAUAGUAAACAAAAAAUAUAUAAUUACUAAGACAAGGUUCAGGUUUCGUGUCUGGCCUGCUGUCAGUGUUAAAAUUAUGACUGAGAAAAAAAACCAGUAUUAAUCAAUCAAAAAGAGAGAAAAAAAUCAAAAUGUUGCUCUGAAUGUUAUUUGACAAACUGAUUCUUUAACCUUAAAUUGUAUCUCAAUGUAAACUACAAAAAAAUUAAGUCCAUUUAUUAGUAAAUUAUUGAUAAUAUGGGUGAUAUAAAUUUAACUCUCAUUAUGAAAAACUUUGUAAAAGUUUCCUGAUAUUCAAUUUUUUUUGGAAAAAGGGAGGAUCUCUAAGUCUUGCCUUUGCCGAUGUCAUUGCAUGCAGCACAAAAUUCAUAAAAGUUAAACCAUAGUAUUGUUAUUUACUAAACUGUCUGGUAUCUCCUUUGAUCACAGUUUACUAAAUCUUCUAUAAUGUCAAACUAACUAGCCACUGAUAGCUGAAGGUUUAAAAAGUGAUAGUUCCAAUAUAUGGUCCAAGUACACAGUUAUCACCCUUUGACUUCGUUGUCCACAAAUAUAGUCCCUAGUGUGGACAGUGCAUUACUUGCCAAUUUUUUUUUAUACCCCUUCCAAAUUUAUUUUUUCAUGUUUUAUGCCUCAAAUAGCAAGUAGGGGGAUGAAAUUACACUAUAAAAAAAUUUGGGUCAUGAAUUUGAAAGUCAAGUAGUGAUUUGGUCCAGCUAAAAAAAGCACUUCGGAAGCUGUCAAAAAGAUUUCAAGACCCCCUUAACAUAAAAUUGUCCAUAUUUUGAGUAAGAGCUGAUGAAGUUUUCUAUAAAUUUAGUAUAAUUAUCCCAAAAGUAGUACAACACUGUAAAAAUAUUAUUGAGAAAGCGCAGGUGGGAUUUUUUUUUCAUUUAUUGUUUAAAAGAAGUGCACUUCGAAAUGACUGUAUACUCGGACCAUAUGAAAUAUAAUUACACCUUAUAUAAGAAUGUUUAAUUUUCAUUGGUUGAUAGCCAGUGUAUUUUUCACAUAUUCUAAUAUUUUUUCCUCAUUUCAAACAAAUUUGCCUCAAAUAUCAUGGUAUUUGCCAUUUUGGAUAUUCCUUUUUUACCCUCGUGAGUGUCUUCCCGCAAAAAUUAUUCGGAACCUUUCUAACUUUAUCAUGUUCAUUAAAAGACAACAUGGUUACGCACUAUUGAUGGAGUUAACCCAAAAACUUUAACAACAAAAACGUCAGAUAUAAAGUGGAAAAAAAUACAUCUAUAUAAAAGAACGAUUUAAUCAUGGAAUAACAAUGGCGUUUACAUAUAGAUAUCAUGACCUUACAAAAAGACAGCACUAAGGCAUAUAUAAGUACAUGUAUAAUUCCUGCAGUACUACGAUUUCCCUUCCCUGUACAGACAGUUUCAAUCAAAAUCUAUUAGGUGUAAUUAAAUAGAUAUAUCAUUUUAUGGAGGGGGAUUUGAGAAAAAUACCAGUCUUGGGACCAAAUUUCACUCGUCUAGCGGCUUGGAAAAUUUCACAGUCCCUCGACUGGUAUUUAAGACUAGUUAAGACAUAAUAAAUUAACAAAAUAAAUUGUACUUCUUACAACUUUUGCCUUGUUAUUAUAAUACCAAAUUCAACAUGUUCAAUUCAAAAGUUUAUGCUCAUCAAAGUCUAUUCUCUACAUAAAUUUAGAUAUAAAAUAUUCUAAACCUGGUUUUAAUUUACUAUAAAGACAUGAGACAAUACAAUGCUAAUGUUCAUCACAGAAUAAAUGAUAAAUGUAAAAAAUGUAUUAUAGAAAUAUUGGUGUACAUCAUUACACAACAUUCAAAACUGCCAAUUUUUUUUUUAUCUAACAGAGGUAAUCUAAUAAUUGUAACAAUAAAUGGAAGUUUGGAGUUUAUUACAAUGAGAUGUAUGUGUUUUUUUAAUGAUUAAUUAUGUCAUAUGAAUAGGAUAGAUGGUAAUGCACCAUAGAAACAGUAAACCCAUCAUACCAAGCACACAUUAAAAAGGAAAUUUGGCGGUCAACUAGUUUUUAACACAUUAGACAAGUGACAAAUGUCCUGCAUCAAACAUACUGGUAACAUAAUAUGAUCAUAAUACAUUAAUUUGGAUUUUCAGCCAUAUUAUAUUAAAUAUGUUGGACGGAUUGAACAUAUCAUAACUUAUUUUAUAGCCUGGGCUGUUAAGGUGGUACCCAACACUUUCACUAAAAUUAAUUUGGCUCGUUUAAAUUUCAUAAAAUUUUGACAAAGUAUUUAC